GGAGAGGUUCCCGAGUUGGCCAAAGGGGCCGGACUGUAAAUCCGGUGGCGAAGCCUUCGGAGGUUCGAAUCCUCCCCUCUCCACCA
rnacentral:tRNA from 1 species